UAGAUUUCGUCCGGGUUACCUCCUCCCAACCCUGGCGAAUAAGACCGGCAACCUCCUCCUCCCAAAUUGCCGGUCAUCCCAUAGCGACACCCGCCGAACCUCCUCCCUCGGCGGGUGUCGUUU
rnacentral:sRNA from 1 species